UGAGGAAUAUUGGUCAAUGGGCGAGAGCCUGAACCAGCCAAGUAGCGUGCAGGAUGACGGCCCUAUGGGUUGUAAACUGCUUUUAUGUGGGGAUAAAGUGCGUGACGUGUCAUGCAUUGCAGGUACCACAUGAAUAAGGACCGGCUAAUUCCGUGCCAGCAGCCGCGGUAAUACGGAAGGUCCGGGCGUUAUCCGGAUUUAUUGGGUUUAAAGGGAGCGUAGGCUGUCUAUUAAGCGUGUUGUGAAAUUUACCGGCUCAACCGGUGGCUUGCAGCGCGAACUGGUCGACUUGAGUAUGCAGGAAGUAGGCGGAAUUCAUGGUGUAGCGGUGAAAUGCUAGAUAUCAUGACGAACUCCGAUUGCGCAGGCAGCUUACUGUAGCAUAACUGACGCUGAUGCUCGAAAGUGCGGGUAUCAAACAGG
rnacentral:rRNA from 1 species